AUCAGUGAAACUGAUCUCCCCGUGAAGAAGCGGGGAUACAAAUAUAAGACGAGAAGACCCCAUGGAGCUUUAAACCCAACAGCACCCGUUUAUUUUCAUCCUCACAUAAGUUAGGCUAUGCCUGUUUGGUUUUAGGUUGGGGUGACCACGGAGUAUAAAACAACCUCCAUGAAAAAAGGACCAAAAAUCCUUAUUAGAGAAAGACAUUUCUAAAAUUAAUAAAUUAAUUUUUAAUGAUCCGAUAUUCGAUCAACGAACCAAGUUACCCUGGGGAUAACAGCGCAAUCCACUUCAAGAGCUCCUAUCGACAAGUGGGUUUACGACCUCGAUGUUGGAUCAGGGUAUCCUAGUGGUGCAGCAGCUACUAACGGUUCGUUUGUUCAACGAUUAAAACCCU
rnacentral:rRNA from 1 species